rnacentral:lncRNA from 1 species
AAGUGUGUUGCUUAAUGCUUUCCUCAGCUGAACAAAAAGAAACAAAUGCAUACUGCUGCUAGAGCAAACUCUUCCGUUUUAUUGUUUAUUAUUAUCAGGGCCAUGUCUUUGUUUGUUGUCUACUCCCCCAAAAUGAAUACAUACAUACUCCAACAGCAGCAGUCUCAGAACGAAAUUAAUCAAUUGGUGCCGGUCAAUCUGUGCACUGACUAGAAAGAAACCGUUAAUACUACAUACACACCAGCGGAUCAAUCAUGC